UUUUGGCAAACUUGCACGAAAUGAAUAUGCAGAGAUCAAUUCUAAGCUUGUUUUGCGGUUAGUUCAUCAGCAUCCCCUGUUGGGAAAAAAAACUGAGUUAUGAUCCGACUUUGGCACGAGUUUUGAGUGGGACCCGAUUGUUCAAUUUGGAAGAUGAAAGUUGAUUUGUGUUCUCCUCCGUGAAUACAUCGAAAUCAUAUACUUACUUGCCAAAGAUGAUGAUCGGGUAAAUAAGAAAUUGAGGCUCAAAGUGUGCCAUUUAAAAGGGAGUUUAUGUGGGAAAAAUGAAUUUGUCCCACAUAGGAAAAAGAUGAGAAACUCCAAAGGUCAUUACUAUUAAUGGUAGCCUAGCCUAUAAAUAGUGGCUCAUUUUCCUCAUUUCAACACACCAAAGCAAAAGCUUUCAAGUUUAGAAUACACAAGAAAUUCAUUUGCAUAGAGUUCUGUCUUUUCUGCAUUUCUGUCUUGGUGGUGGUGUAGUUUAGGCACUAAUUCAGUUCGUCGGAGUGGUUUCUGCGGUGCUCGGAAGCUACUGGUUUUACCGUUGUAUCCUGGGAAACGGACGCUCGUUUUAAACCUCAAGCACGGACGGUGAGAGGGCGAAUCUGUUUUAAGGAAACUGUGUGUAACACAGGUUUCGGUUUGAAAUUUCAUUUCCUG
rnacentral:lncRNA from 1 species